UCGACAGCAGGUUUUUUACAGUAUUUUGUUUUCUUCCCUCUUUCCAACGUUGCCCAAAGGAUUAGAUGUCGCUCGUGAAGACUAUUUCGUUCAUUCUUCUGUUGUCUGCGGUGAUGCUGGAGGGAGCUCGUGGACGAUGGGAUCCCCAAGAAGGUGAAUUCGAUGACGCAGUAUUGGAAGGUCGUCAACUGCCGCCCUGCGGACGACAAAAUCCGGAAGACUUUUGUAUGAAUUUUCCAUGUGGGGACUACCCCGGUGUUGGAUCUUGCCCUUAUCCGGAUCAGAAUUGUUGUCGCAAGGGUACUUAGUGACAACGGCAACUACCCGUCAACGACGUUAACAGUACCGAAUGAAAUAAGUCAUUGGGACAAGAGCUGUCUUUGUCGGGUUAAAAUACUGCAGUUUUUGCGGCAAUAAAAAUAAUAAUGAAAAAAAUGGAGAAAUCA